rfam:Oryza rufipogon genomic scaffold, chr07
AAAAAGGUAAAUCCUAAAUUUUCGUGUCUAACUUUAACUGUCCGUCUUAUAUGAAAUUUUUUUAUAAUUCGUAUUUUCAUUGUUGUUAGAUGAUAAAACAUGAUUAAUAUUUUAUACAUGACUUGUCUUUUUAAUUUUUUUUCAUAAAUUUUUAAAUAAGACGGACGGUUAAAUAUUAGUCAUGGAAACCACGGUUUGUCUUCUU